rfam:Enterococcus phoeniculicola ATCC BAA-412 genomic scaffold acvKl-supercont1.6, whole genome shotgun sequence.
GAGAACUGAUAAUUUGAGGAGUGAAAUGAAGGCGUAACGUCCUGAAGCGCUCCCUCUAAUACUCCGAUUGGCAAUUCUCUUGGUUAGAAAAUGGAUUGUCAAAAGCUCGGUGAAGUCGGCUGAGAGUUACCGUCAUUGCUUAACAGCAAUCGAAAGUCGUCCAGCGGUGGACGGUGUAACCCAUAGGCCGGGAGUCCACAAA